rnacentral:rRNA from 1 species
CCGAACCGACUAAUGUUGAAAAAUUAGCGGAUGACCUGUGGCUGGGGGUGAAAGGCCAAUCAAACCGGGAGAUAGCUGGUUCUCCCCGAAAGCUAUUUAGGUAGCGCCUCGUGAAUUCAUCUCCGGGGGUAGAGCACUGUUUCGGCUAGGGGGCCAUCCCGGCUUACCAACCCGAUGCAAACUGCGAAUACCGGAGAAUGUUAUCACGGGAGACACACGGCGGGUGCUAACGUCCGUCGUGAAGAGGGAAACAACCCAGACCGCCAGCUAAGGUCCCAAAGUCAUGGUUAAGUGGGAAACGAUGUGGGAAGGCCCAGACAGCCAGGAUGUUGGCUUAGAAGCAGCCAUCAUUUAAAGAAAGCGUAAUAGCUCACUGGUCGAGUCGGCCUGCGCGGAAGAUGUAACGGGGCUAAACCAUGC